rnacentral:lncRNA from 1 species
GCUGGACUGAGUAAUCUAAGACACUGGUUUCUUAUUCAUUUCAAGACAAAAUAUAACAAAAACAGUUAUAAGUUUAGCAAUGACUAUUUAAUCAGUCAUAAAUCAAUAUAUAUAUGUUAUAAAUAAAUAUCCCAAAGCAAAAACGGUUCAGAGCCCCCCUUGGAUGUUAAUCGUCGUGCGUAAACAUGGGAAAGUGGUUUUACUAUUUAUAGUAUUUAUAGUAAAUAAUAUAGGUCACUUGUCAGGUCGUAAAUAUCAUAAAAAUCGGGGUUAGCAUUAACCUGGUAAUGGUUCACAAGUGGUAUAUGGCUCUGGUAAUAAUGGUAUAUCUAUUCAAAAUGGUCAAGGUAAUGUGUGCUGUGCUGUCCAGAAUCGUCUGCUACAACCGUUUAUAUAGUCCGGAAGUCUGCGGACACAGAAAGUGUGUCCGUUACUAUAACGAUAAGUGUGUCCGUAAAAUUAACGUAGCGAUUGGUUGUAAUUCUGAAUAUACAUAAUACCGGGUUUCUGGAAACUAGGUUAUCUCUGUCCAUUCCGAUUGGUCCUUAAAACCGGAAGUUCCCACGGCAAUAAUAUGGAACAUGGCGCAAAAACAAAUAGAAAUACACAACUG